rnacentral:rRNA from 1 species
AUGGGAGGUUGUGGCCCAGGAGCGUCCAGAAAUUUCAAAUCUAGCAUUGAUUGGGAUUUAAGCAAUGUACGCGGCCAUAAAUUUAAAGCUAGUAAUGGACAUGAUCAGCAGAGAGGUGUUUCGGCCAGAGAUAAAAUAUUUGCCGUAAAAGCAGAAGUACGUCAGUACAGGCCGAGAGACUCGGGGGGCAACAGAAUUAAGUCAGCUACACCAGAGAUUAAACCAAGACCUCGGUGGUGUCCAACGGGACUCACACACACUCAGAAACGACGUGUGCAGAGACUACGGGCAUUUGAAAUGAAGGAAGAGAUAGUCGAGAAGAAGCGCUUGCUCGAUCCAGAAAAACCAAUGGUGCCGAAAAUGACAUGGAGGGAGAAGCGCAUUGUGGGGGAGAAGUUUCCCAAAACUCCCAAUGGACAAUAUUCAAAAAAGUAUUGUCAUAGCAUGUCCAAGAAAACCUGA